ACCAAUAGGAGAACUCCAAGUUUCUUUCUCUGUCUUCUCUAGUGUUUUCUCAGCAUCAUAACACUUUCAUCUCUCUAUUCUCAGUCUCUCUUUCUCUCUGACCUCCCUAUCUCAGCAUCAUAACUCUUUCUCUCAUCUCUCACAUCAGUAUCAUCAUCAUCUAGCAAAUCCAAACCAAGAUCAACUCAAAGUUCACAUGCAAGUGUAGAUUUGUAAUCCUUGAGUCAUGGGCUUUCAAGGAAGCUUCAAGGAUCAAGGAGCCAUGGUUAAGGGAUUUUGAGCAAUUUAGAAGAAGAUUGGUGAAAUUCGUGUUCCUAGACAGGGCUUCACUAAAACGUUUCACUAUUUUUGGAUCAGUAUUGAUGUCUGAACAUGCUUCUGAAGUUGAGGGCUGAAGCUGUCAAAAUGGUGUUUUGAGGGCUGCGGGUUUGGGUACACAAACGGCGCAAAUGAAUGAUUCUAGGCUUGAGAAACAACACGGUACGGCUGUUGAAUCAGGAUCAAGGAGCCAUGGUUAAGGGAUUUGGAGCAAUUUAGAAGAAGAUUGGUGAAAUUCGUGUUCCUAGACAGGGCUUCACUAAAACGUUUCACUAUUUUUGGAUCAGUAUUGAUGUCUGAACAUGCUUCUGAAGUUGAGGGCUGAAGCUGUCAAAAUGGUGUUUUGAGGGCUGCGGGUUUGGGUACACAAACGGCGCAAUUGAAUGAUUCUAGGCUUGCGAAACAACGCGGUACGGCUGUUGAAUCAGUCAAGCCUAAUAUUGAAUUUCAUCUUGAAUAUGAGCUUCAAAGAUCAAGGAGCCAUGGUUAAGGGAUUUGGAGCAAUUUAGAAGAAGAUUGGUAAAACUCAUGUUCCUAGACAGGGCUUCACUAAAACCUUUCACUAUUUUUAGAUAAUUAUUGAUGUCUGAACAUGCUUCUGAAGUUGAGAGCUGAAGCUGUCAAAAUGGUGUUUUGAGGGCUGCGGGUUUGGGUACACAAACGGCGCAAAUGGAUGAUAGGCUUGCGGAACAACGCAGUAUGGCUGUUGAAUCAGAUCACCUUCUAAUAUUGUUUAAAUCUAAUACAGAACUCUGGAGGAAAGAAGAUAUAUAUGUAUCUUUAUGUUCAUGUGCCUGCAACAAUGAUCCCUUUGAGUUACUUUGCGAUGAUCGAACCUUCAGAGGUCGUUUACGUUUGAAACGUAGGGUACGAAAUAUCUGAGCAUUUGCUAUUGAAGGGUCAAUGAAAGAGAAAAGCAAGUGGUUUAUAUCACUAAGAUACUUGAUGAGCAAAUUGAAGACUAUGAAAAUGGAACACAUGAGGCUAUUAGAGGUAGCAGAAGCAUACAAGAAAUAUGUAGCAGAUAUAAGUGAUUUGGGACUCAUCAUCAAAUCUAAAAUGAAUGAGCAAACUAGCAUCACAUCAAGAUAAGUCCAAAUAUAUUGAAGGGGCUAAGUUUCAAAAAGAGCUUUACAAUAAGGUAUUGGAGUUGAGAGGAAACAUAAUGGUCUUAGAUUUUGAUUGGAUCUCCAAAGAAGACUUUAAAGUUUGAUGUUGUGUUUGGCCCUCAAGUUGAACAAGAUAUCUUUGAGGGCACUGUACCAUUUGCAACAUGUAUACAUUUUAAAACUCUCAUUUUUGUUUUCAAUUUCACUUAAGUUUUGUUAUGUGGCUACAAAAUUCGAUUUUGAGUGAAUUUAAUUUGUAAAGUUGUUCUUACUUGAAAGUUGAAAGUAAACCAAAUUCCAAGUGUUGCAGCAUAAGCUGACAGGCGGCUAAGCAUGCAUAUGCAUCAGUUGUGCAGUCACCACUAGAUGACGAUGCUUUAACACGAUGGCAGCGGGAUGUAGGCCAUGAUGAUGCAGGGCAGCAGGAUGCAGGCCAUAAAAAAGACUCACCUAAUGUUGCUGACUCCAAGUAUUCACAUGGUGUGAUCAACUUGAAGCAGUUGAAAGAAGUUUUGGUGCUUGCUAUGAAGCCUUAAGCAAUUUUCAAGUUGGAUUUAUGCAUUAGUUUUAUUGGAAUUUUGUCACUUUUGCCAAAACACAGAUUGUGGUGGCUUUGCUGGUGUUGAGAAAGUGGGAGGAAUGGGAGAUGCUAUAGUUUUUAUUUUUUGCAUCAUGCUGGUGUAUUGACCGGUUUCUUGAUUUGGUUUUUAAGUUUAUUUACUCUUUCAGAUGUAUCGAUUAUACAAUGUACUUCUCUAUCCUAUUAUCAAUGAUUAUAUGAAUGAUUUUUAAUUUCAUCAUCUUAACGAGUCUUGAAAUUUAACGAUAGGAUUUUUAAACUCAUGAGUAAUUUAAAUUAAGUGUACUCUUAGACAAAAAUUUAAUUUUAUAGAUGUCACGAGUCUUGAAAGCUUCACUAUAAAAUUUUGUGUGAUGCUUCACUUGAUUCGUUUUAUUAUGGCGGACACAAGGCUUCUUAUCAAGCCGAACAUCACUUCAUGUUAUCAGCAUUUCAUGUGGUUUUAAACUGGUUGAUCUUAAUCGAGCGGCUGCAUAUGACCGACUAUAUAAAUACGAGAAAGUUUUGACUGCACAAGAACGUGAUCCCAGAUAAAGGUGGACAAUUAGAUUCUGCGACAGAAAUCAGUAAUCAACAAGAGGAAUGAUAUUUUGACACAAAUAUUUUUAUUUACCAUGAUCUACAACAUCCAUGAUUGAUAACAUCCAUGAUUGAUAUAUAAAUGGUGUUCCUUGAUCAAGGAGCAUAUGAGCUACAAGGAUCAAGGAGCCAUGGUUAAGGGAUCCCUCCGAGUAUCGAUAUAGAUUCGCAAUUUUUGUAUUCUUUUUUUGUGAUAAUUUUGUAUCCUUCUAAUAGUGAGGUUUAUAAUUUAUGCGCGCUGCUAGAGUUUCUUAAUUUUUGCGCUUUAGGUCAGCCC